GCCCCUUCAACCAGAUCACUUCCGCUGAAAGUUUGCAUCUCCCAGUAUCAGUGUUGGGGAAGCCAAAUGAAAUCUAUCAAUCCCAGUUCAGAAUGUAAAGAAACUGAAGAUCCUCUUUCCCCAUAUGGAUUAUUAUAUCAUCAUAGCAUUUGGAGAAGCCAAGAUCAACAAAAAAGCAGUUAGCAGAAUUGUACAUGGCGAUCAUCAGCAGUAUGAAGAGGAGCUGUGGGGCCAGUGAGAGAAGCUGCAGCCUGUUGAGACUCCACAAGACUGAAGAUAUGAAAAGAGGAAAUAUGCAUGAAUGCCCGCACGGAGAACCACCCCCACCUGCUGCUCCCGCUCUAAUGAUCACGCCCAUUAUCAACUGGGGGAUGGCUCUGUGCCUUGUCCUUGCAUUACAUGGACCAAGAACACUUCACAGGACUCAGAGAGGCAAAAAUAGAUACAAAAGAAGAAGGAAUUACAGAAGAAGUCACAUAACAUUAUUGCCUACAACUGACUGUUUACCUUGAAUACUUGAAGACCAGAAUGAAGAUUCUUGGGGUGAAGAAUUACAGCCUUAGCAUGGAGCAGGCCUCGGUGCAUCGGCUUUCAGCUAGGCAUGCCUGCCAAUGUUCAACGUCCUCCUGGGAUACGGAAGGCACCGUGAUAGACAUCUGGGCAAGUCAACAGGAAGGUGGAUAUCCAAAUCUCUCUCUUCGCAAUGAGUUUCCAGUUAGAUGGAGGAGAGAGUAAUAAAACACAGAGCUGAGAUUCCUGACUUCACAGAUCCCUGAGGAGAUGUUUACUAAAGGGAAUCUUCUGGUCACUGUUACCUUCCUCCGUACUUACCUGCCUCAUGGAGAACCCGAAAGGAAGAAGCUAUACGACUGGGGACACAUGUCUUAGAAGCACACUCAUUAGAUAAAGUGUCGCAUACUCUUUGAUAAGGUAAGGCUCCCUGGACGAGAUGUUUUACAGGUACCAUGAGCUCAGUGAAUUGCUUUUGGAAAGACACUCAGCGGAGUGGGCACCACGAGGUUAGGAGAAGCAGCUUCUGCUCGUCAUAACUUUGGCAAAUGUUUACACAUCAGUAAUGAAAAAUAUUCUCUUGGCGAUUUCAGGCUUGUUACUAUGGAUGUUGUUUGCUAACAUUGACUAUUUUUCCUAACUGCUUAUAGAAACUCCAGGCUGUCACCCAUCUGUUCUCUCAUCAAAGUAGUUUUGGGCCAGCAACUAUUUCAGACAUUUCUACAGUUUCAGAUGUCUCACUCUGCCUAUGACUGUAUGUUGUACUUGAGGACUGGACGCACAGGGUAAAGUGCAAAUAGCAAGCAUUCAGGUCCAACUCUCCUCCUUCUGGUUAACAAUAUGAAAGAAAGAGGUAGUAUCGGAAUUAUUUUAGUUCAAUGUAGCCAU
rnacentral:lncRNA from 1 species